AUAACGAUCGUUAGAACGACGCCGUUUGUGUGGUUGCUUUUGUCGACAUUCAUAAUCUCUCUUCCCGUGGGUUCACCGGCCCUACGGUGCUGACGCUCCUGGGACGCUUCCCUCCUUUUUUCCGUCUUUGAUCAUCAUCGCAUCCCUGGUUUAUAUAUUUUUCUUUAUCGGAUCCUACCACCAUGGCCGCUCCCCCCGCUCGGGCUAGGGCCGAUUACGAUUUCCUAAUAAAGCUCCUAUUAAUCGGCGACAGCGGACAGUAACUGAUGUAAAGAAGGAAUGGAAGGCAAUAGUGUAAAAAACAGUAGAGAAGUCAUUUUUUGGGGUUCUAAACCAGUUGAUUUCAAAUGGAUCUGAUAAAUUUGUGGGAAUCAUCAAUUCAAAUUGGUUUGUUUGAUUCAGCAGAUUGCCGAUUUCAAGGAUUGUUUGGAUCGUUGGCUAAGUAAGGGGAUAUUGCUUAGAGAGGCAGACUCUAGCCUAGUUAAGGAGUGACCGGAUAAGGGGAUAUCGUUUGAAGAUGGCGAACUCUAGCCUUAACCAAGGAGUGUUGUAAAGGUAUUGUUCUGCCCGUUAAAGAAACAUGUUUAGUGAAUCUUUUGAUGGUUUGUCAAAAGCGAGGAAGUAGGCUAGGUAUAAGCCGAACCUUGUAAAAAUCUCCGUCUCACUCUCUCUUUCCCUAUUCUUUAUUUUCAGUGCAUAUUUAAAUUGCAUGGAUGAUUUAAAUUUAAAAUCAUAUAAACUACGUAAAUUUGAAAAUUAAGCAAACUUUAAAGUUUGAUUU